AUGGCUGAAGCUUUAGCUCUCAAGUUUGGCCUAACAAUCGCGCAAAGGGCAGGGUGUAACCACCUAAUCAUCAACUCAAACAACAUGGAGGUGGUUGAGACCAUGCAGGAAGGAGGACAAUCAGCGGGGGCAGCGGCGGCAGUUUUCGAGGACUGUUAUCACUAUGCCUAUGAUUUUUUCACGACUCGAUUCGAACAUUGUAAUAGAGAGGAAAAUAAAGUAGCUCAUGAACUUGCUACAUUAGCUAAAUUUUCUUCGACUUCUGACUGGUUUGAGGAACCUCCAAAUGAAAUUGUAAUGAUCCUCACAAACAAUGUAUUGGUUAUUUCAAAUGAAUAA
rnacentral:rRNA from 1 species